GACUUUUAAAAAUAAGCGAAUAACGGACAAGUUUGAUACUUACCUCUAGAGCGUCUAGGUGACGUAUAUUAUUGCUUCCACAAUUAUUCCUCUAUAUAUUGGCUAUGUCUAAGUCUAUGAUGAUCUCUCAUAUCUAUGGUAGUGCUUCUUAGAGUCAUUGAGAUUUUACGUUUCCAUAUCGUAUUAAAGGUUCAUAAUCUUGAUAAAACAUUAAUCUUUGGUAAUAUUCCUUGCUGGUUCACGUUGAUUGUUCUAUUGAGUUAUAAGAAAUGAUUUUAAUUGCAUAUGUUUGCUCAUAAUAUUCUGCUCGUGCAUAGAGUCAUUUAUCAUUUCACCGAGUCCCGGGCCGGGUAAUGUUCGUGCGGAGUUUCUUGCAUAUGUCACCGAGUUCCUCACUAGAGGGCCGGGUAUGUAUAUUAUAUAUAUGAUUGGUGAUGAGGAUGGUUAUGAUGAUGAUGAUGACGGAGAUGACGUGAUGAUUAUUUUGCCGAGCCCCUUACUAGGGAAGCUGGACACCUUAAAUGUUAAAUAUAUGCAUGAUUUUCACUUAAAAGGGUAUAUGUGUAGAGAUAUUUUGUUUCGACUUGCCAUAUUGGUAUCCUGUCAUCUUUACCUUAUGCUUUACAUACUCAGUACAUUGUCCGUACUGACCCCCCUUUCCUCGGGGGGCUGCGUUUCAUGCCCGCAGGUGUAGACGCACAGUUCGGUGAUCCUCCCGCCUAGGAUAUCUACUUUGCCGAUUGGGAGAGCUCCACUGUUUCGGAGCCCAGUCGUUUUGGUACAUAACUUUUUGUGUAGUCUUUUACUCGUCUAUGGGUAUGGCGGGGCCCUGUCCCGUCGAGUUUCAUUACUGUACUCUUAGAGGUCUGUGGACAUUAUAUGGGUUGUAUAUAUAUGUUUUGGGUAAUGGUCUGGACAUGGUUUGUUUGGGAUGUCCGCUUGUACAGGGGCAGCCUUGUCGGCUGCGUACAUCAUUGUGUAUUGCGUAGUGGCAGCCUUGUCGGCUUACGUAUGUUAUUAUGCUUUGAAUAGUGGCGGCCUUGUCGGCUCGCGUAUGUUGUUACGGUUGAAUGGUUAUGACUCCUUACGAGACAGGUCCUCUUUAUAUAUAUAUAUGACGUUGGGGUUGGCUUGAUUUGAUUAAAUUCCAUAUUGUCUUAGUUUCAGUUGGUUAUACUUAGCAGGUUUGUAUGUGGGUGUUCAAAACGGGCACUAGUCACAGCUCAUCGGGUUGGGUCGUGACAAAGAAUGGUCUCAGAGCGGUUCUUCCUGGGAAGUGUCUACAGACCGUGUCUAGUAGAUUCUUGUUUAUUGGUGUGUUGUGCACCACAUCUAUAAACAGGAAGCUACAGGACAUUUAGGAUGUCAUUCUUUCUUCUUAUUCUAGAUCGUGCGAUAGAGCUAUAUUAACAGGAUAAUCCCUCUCUAACGAAUCCGUGUGUUUUCAGCUAUGCCUCCAAAGAAAGCGACAACGGCCCCAAAGGGAAAAUCGGUAGCAGAAGGUACUAGUCAGACCCGGAGAGUUACUAGGGCCCGUGCCCAGUCUAUGCCUGGUAUUAUGCUCUAGUCGGAGAGCUCUGCUACACCGCCACCGCCAGAGGAGCUUAGAGCAGCAGCAACUCCAGUUCGGGGGACACCACCAGCCCCCGAGGCCCCAACACCUGAACCUCCAGCUCCUCAGUCAGGGGCGGAGGAUAGGGCCAUGAGAGAUGCGGUUCAAUUGCUGACUAGAUUGGUGGCAGAUCAGGCUCGCAGGCAUGGACUAGGAGUUGAUCAUGCGGACAGAUCUGAUAGCUUAAGGGCUCGUGACUUCUUAAGUUGUAAUCCUCCAGAGUUCUUAGGGUCAAGACCCCAGGAUGAUCCGCAAGAGUUUAUUCGUUAGAUGCAGCAUACAUUGAGGAUAAUCAAGGCUUUGGAGACUGAGUCUGUUGAGUUGGCUACGUACCGUUUGCGGGAUGUAGCUAUUAAUUGGUAUGAGUCUUGGGAGUUAUCUAGGGGUGAGGGUGCUCCUCCAGCGGUAUGGGAUGAAUUUGUGGAGGCUUUCCAGGGCCACUUCCUGCCUCCAGAGAUGAAGCGAGCUAGAGUCAAUAGAUUCUUGCGUUUGAAGCAAAAUGGCAGGAGCGUUCGAGAGUAUAGCCUCGAGUUUGAUUCAUUGGCUAGGCAUGCGCCUACUAUUGUGGCUGAUAUGGCAGACAGGGUACAUCGUUAUGUGAUGGGAUUGGAUCGUUAUUUGAUUGAUGGUUGUAUGGCAGUGACUCUUCAGCCAGGUAUGGACAUUGCUCGGGUGCAGGCAUAUGCAUAGGGGGUAGAGGAUUGGCACCGGGGACGUCAGCUAGAUAGAGAUUAUAAUAGAGGCCAGCAUAAGAGGGCUAGAUCAGCAGGUUAUCCUGACGAGUUUCGAAGCAGGAAGUCUCAGCAACAUGUUAGAUUUUCUUCCCAGCCAGCACAGAGUGCACCCCCACGUUUCAUGGGUACGGGUUCGAUCGUAUGGGAUAUUCGGAAUCUGGUCAGAGCUCUAGGGCGUCAGGGUCACAAAUGGGCAGGGGUUUGAGCCAGUCGAGGCCACCUUUGCCUCGGUGUUCUUGUUGUGGUAAGUCCCAUCCUGGGGAAUGUCGUUGGGCUACAAGUGCGUGUUUUUCUUGCGGCCGUCAGGGCCAUACUAUGAGGGAGUAUCACCUUAGAGGUAGUGCAGGUGGUAUGGCACAGCCUACAGGGUCCGUUGCUGGUUCAUCUUCUUCUGUGGCUAUGCACCCUACGGGGCAGGGUAUUCAGGCGCUAGCAGGCCGUGGUAGAGGACGUGGUGGAGCUUCCAGUUCUAGCGGUGCCUCGAAUCGUAUAUAUGCUUUGACUAAUAGGCAGGAUCAGGAGGCAUCACCUAAUGUGAUCACAGGUAUAUUAUCACUAUUCUCCCGAAGUGUGUAUACAUUGAUAGACCCAGGUUCCACCUUAUCAUAUAUAUCUCCCUUUGUUGCUAGUAGGAUCGGAAUAGAGUCUGAGUUGAUAGAACCAUUUGAGGUAGCUACACCUGUAGGAGAUUUUGUCAUAGCUACGCGAGUAUAUAGGAAUUGUUCAGUAGUUAUAUAUAGUCGUUGUACCGUAGCAGAUCUAAUAGAGUUAAAUAUGAUUGAGUUUGAUAUUAUCAUGGGCAUGGAUUGGUUGGCUGCUUGUUAUGCUAAUGUUGAUUGCAGAGGAAAGAUAGUUCGAUUUCAAUUUCCAGGGGAACCGAUUAUAGAGUGGAAGGGAAGUACAAUAUCGCCGAAAGGUAAGUUCAUUUCAUACCUCAAGGCCGGGAAGAUGGUUAGAAAAGGCUAUAUUUACCAUCUGAUUCGGGUGCAUAACAUAAAGGCAGAGGCACCGACUCUUCAAUCAGUCCCGGUAGUUAAUGAAUUUCCCAAUGUAUUCCCCGAGGAACUUCCAGGCCUUCCUCCAGAACGAGAGAUAGAGUAUACUAUAGAUGUACUGCCAGAUGCCCAGCCUAUAUCUAUACCUCCUUAUAGAAUGGCACCUGCUGAGUUGAAAGAAUUGAAAGAGCAAUUGAGGGAUUUGCUAGAAAAGGGCUUCAUCAGGCCUAGUACGUCACCUUGGAGAGCACCGGUACUGUUUGUGAGGAAGAAGGAUGGGUCUCUGCGGAUGUGCAUUGAUUAUAGGCAGUUGAACAAAGUAACAAUAAAGAACAGGUAUCCCCUCCCAAGAAUUGACGAUCUAUUUGACCAGUUGCAGGGUGCAAAGUAUUUUUCAAAGAUAGACUUGCGGUUAGGUUAUCAUCAGGUGCGGAUAAGGGAAGCAGAUAUUCCAAAGACGGCAUUCCAGACCCGAUAUGGGCAUUAUGAGUUUAGAGUGCUGUCUUUUGGGCUGACUAAUGCUCCAGCGGUGUUCAUGGAUUUAAUGAAUCGAGUAUUUAAACCAUUCCUUGAUAUGUUUGUUAUUGUAUUUAUAGACGAUAUUCUGGAUUAAUUAGUGGUUGAUUAGGAUUAAUUUAAUCCAGUGGGCCCCACCACUCAUAAUUGGUGGCUGAUUAAUAUUUAAUCCAGUGGGCCCACCACUCAAGGCAAAAAAAUUAAAAAGAUCAGAUUAUGAGCUGGCCUUAGUGGACAGGUGUAGAGGGGGGCUGCCUCCACUUCAUACUAUUAAAUGAGGUGGAGAAAUCCACUCCAUGCUAAAUAAAGUGGUGAAAUGCAUUGCUGCAUAUCAUCUUCUUCUUCACCAAUUGUCUUAGGCAGCCAUGGAAAUGGAGAAACCAACCCUGCAACUCUUGGCCAGCAGCUGCAAAUAAUUUGGUUAGUAAUUUCCUUGUUUGGUGUGUUAAUUCUUUAGAAUACCUUUGUUAAUUACCCAUUAAUUUUAAGAAGGGGGCGUGACCAGUAGCUUAGGAAGUUUGUUUUAGUUAUUGAAUGUGCUAAGUAUGAACGGAAACCAUAAUCGGAUUAUUAGUGGUGUCGUGUUGGUGCUUGGGCUGUUUUGAUUAAAGCAAACUAUGGGAAAAUUCUGUUUUGGCAUUAUGUAUAUGUUAAAUGUGAUUAUGAGUAUAUAAUCCAAAGGAUGAAUACAAUAAGGUAGAUGUGUUGCGAAUUGUAAAACGAAUUAUCGCUCGGUGUGUCGUUGCUUCGCUGCUAUGGUUGCCGAGACGGAACUAUUUUGGGGAGGGAGCUGUUUAAUAUGAUUCAUUGGGUUAUAUGUGUUAUUGGUAUUGCUGUGGAUAAUUUGGGUUGUUGUCGGAUUGGGACGAAGUAAGGAAAAUAGGGGAAGUGCUGCCGAAUUUUCGUUUGAUUAUUAGCUAGCUUACAAGAAAGUAAAGCACGAUGUUUAUCUAAUUGCGGCACGAUUGUUGCUUGUUAUAGAUUAAUAGCUUGAGCAGUAAAUAUUGGACGUGCGGCUCGAUUAUACGGUAUGUAACGCUGUCCCUUCUUUCUUUGUUUGGCAUGACUUUUAAAAAUAAGCGAAUAACGGACAGGUUUGAUACUUACCUCUAGAGCGUCUAGGUGACGUAUAUUCUUGCUUCCACAAUUAUUCCUCUAUAUAUCGGCUAUGUCUAAGGCUAUGAUGAUCUCUCAUAUCUAUGGUGGUGCUUCUUAGAGUCAUUGAGAUUUUACGUUUCCAUAUCGUAUUAAAGGUUCAUAAUCUUGAUAAAACAUUAAUCUUUGGUAAUACUCCUUGCUGGUUCACGUUGAUUGUUCUAUUGAGUUAUAAGAAAUGAUUUUAAUUGCAUAUGGUUGCUCAUAAUAUUCUGCUCGUGCAUAGAGUCAUUUAUCAUUUCACCGAGUCCCGGGCCGGGUAAUGUUCGUGCGGAGUUUCUUGCAUGUCACCGAGUUCCUCACUAGAGGGUCGGGUAUGUAUAUUAUAUAUAUGAUUGGUGAUGAGGAUGGUUAUGAUGAUGAUGAUGACGGAGAUGACGUGAUGAUUAUUUUGCCGAGCGCCUUACUAGGGAAGCUGGGCACCUUAUAUGUUAAAUAUAUGCAUGAUUUUUCACUUAAAAGGGUAUAUGUGUAGCGAUAUUUUGUUUUGACUUGCCAUAUUGGUAUCCUGUCAUCUUUACCUUAUGCUUUACAUACUCAGUACAUUGUCC
rnacentral:lncRNA from 1 species